rnacentral:rRNA from 1 species
UCGGUGUACAGGUUGGUGCAUGGUUGUCGUCAGCUCGUGUCGUGAGAUGUUGGGUUAAGUCCGCAAUGAGCGCAACCCUCGUCCUAUGUUGCCAGCGGGUCAUGCCGGGGACUCAUGGGAGACUGCCGGGGUCAACUCGGAGGAAGUGGGGAUGACGUCAAAUCAUCAUGCCCCUUAUGUCUUGGGCUUCACGCAUGCUACAAUGGCCGGUACAAAGGGCUGCGAUACCGCGAGGUGGAGCGAAUCCCAGAAAGCCGGUCUCAGUUCGGAUUGGGGUCUGCAACUCGACCCCAUGAAGUCGGAGUCGCUAGUAAUCGCAGAUCAGCAACGCUGCGGUGAAUACGUUCCCGGGCCUU